rnacentral:rRNA from 1 species
AUGGACAGCAGCCGGGAGAAGGCCAGCCCACCGGCGAGAGAAGCGAACGGACGCCGAGGAGAGGAGUCGAAGGCCUAUACAGGCAGCCUACAGACGAGCCGACACCAGAACAAUCUGGCCGCCGCCGCAAUCAACCUGCCACCACCACGGCAGCCGCCGGGCACGCACCCGCGCCGCCACCCCGACCAGCCGAGGGGGCCUCGGUCAGGGCCGCCACCCGCAGCCCUAGCCGUUGCGGCCCACGCCGCCAAGAGGCCAGAUCCGGAAGAGCCGCCGCGGCCGCCGUCUCCAACCUCCGGCCCGCACCACCACCACCAACUGUCGCGGUGCCACCACCACCUGCCGCGGCCACGGCAGAGGUGGCCACCGGCAGCCCGCGCCGCCCGCAGCCCGUGCCGCCAUGAGCCAGAUCUGGCCGCGCUGGAGUCGCCGCCGUCUCGGGUACACGCGCCACCCGCCUAG